rnacentral:rRNA from 1 species
UACGUAGGGGGGCUAGCGUUGUCCGGAAUCAUUGGGCGUAAAGAGCGUGUAGGCGGUCCGGUAAGUCCGCUGUGAAAGUCGGGGGCUCAACCCUCGAAUGCCGGUGGAUACUGUCGGGCUAGAGUGCGGAAGAGGCGAGUGGAUUCCUGGUGUAGCGGUGAAAUGCGCAGAUAUCAGGAGGAACACCGGUGGCGAAGGCGGGUCUCUGGGCCGAUACUGACGCUGAGGAGCGAAAGCGUGGGGAGCGAACAGG